UUAUUAUUAUUUUUUUUUUUUUAAUGUUAUAGUCAGCAAACGAGCAGACGAGCCACCUGAUGGGAAGCGGUCAUCGUCGCCCAUGGACAUAAGCAACACCACAGGAGCCACUUAAGCGUUGCCGACCCUUGAGAACCCUAAAUACCCGCUUCUUGAAGAAUCCCAUGUCGUAGCGCAAAGGAAAUACCUCAGGAGGCAAGUCAUUCCACAUUCUGCACGUUCUGGGAAGAAACGAGCGAGAUGCCCGCUUAUUCUUGGUGUGCCAUGUAUCUAAGAAGUGGGGAUGAACUUUGCUCCUUUGGCGGGAGGUGCGGUGAUAGAAACGAGACGAUGGCACCAAAUCAAAAAGUUCUUCCGAGCAUUCCCCAUUGUACAGACGGUAGAACAUGCAAAGAGAGCCAACGUCUCUCCGAAGGCUAAGAGUAAGUUCGGGAUCGCCGACAAUACGAACUGCCCGCCGUUGGAUGGAGUCAAGAGGAAGGAGCUGGUAUUGUGGAGCGCCAGACCAGAGAUGAGAACAGUACUCCAUAUGAGGUCGAACCUGCGCUUUAUAUAACAAAAGCCGGUGACUAGGUGUGAAGUACUGUUUGGCUCUGUUAAGCACCCCAAGCUUUUUGGAGGCCAGUUUGGCUUUAUGUUCCAAAUGACUCCGAAACUGGACUUCGUUCGUAAUAUCGACACCAAGUAUCCCGAUACUUUUAG